rnacentral:rRNA from 1 species
GAUGAACGCUGGCGGCGUGCCUAAUACAUGCAAGUCGAACGAACGGACGAUAAUCUUGCUUCUCUCAUGUUAGCGGCGGACGGGUGUGUCACAUGUGUAUCACCUACCUGUAAUUCUGGUAUAACUUCGGGAAACCGGCGCUUAUACCGUAUAAUCUUUUGAACCGCAUGGGUCAAUAGUGAAAUACGGUCUUUCUGUCUCUUAUAGAUGCUUCCGCGCUGCUUUAUCUAGUUGGUAAGGUAACGGCUUACCAAGGCAACGAGGCAUAACCGACGUGAGAGAGUGAUCGGCGACACGGGAAGUGGGACGCGGUCAAGACUCCUAAGGGAGGCAGCAGUCGGCAAUGGGACGCAAUAGGGGAUAGCAUGACGCAGCGGGCCGAAGUGAGAGAUGAAAGUGUUGGGAUCGUAAAGCCGUGUUAUUAGGGAAAAACAUAUGUGUAAGUAAAUGUGCACAUCUUGACGGUACCUAAUAAGAAAGCCACGGCUAACUACGUG